UAAAUACUCCCUCCGUCCAAAAAUACUUGUCAUAAAAAUGGAUAAAAAGAGAUGUAUCUAAAACUAAAAUAUGUCUAGAUACAUUUCCUUUUAUCCAUUUUGAUGACAAGUAUUUCCGGACGGAGGGAGUAUUUG
rnacentral:pre_miRNA from 1 species